ACCCGCUGAACUUAAGCAUAUCAAUAAGCGGAGGAAAAGAAACCAACAGGGAUUGCCCUAGUAACGGCGAGUGAAGCGGCAACAGCUCAAAUUUGAAAUCUGGCCCUCGGGUCCGAGUUGUAAUUUGUAGAGGAUGCUUUUGGUGCAGUGCCUUCCGAGUUCCUUGGAACAGGACGCCUUAGAGGGUGAGAGCCCCGUACGGUUGGACACUAAGCCUCUGUAAAGCUCCUUCGACGAGUCGAGUAGUUUGGGAAUGCUGCUCUAAAUGGGAGGUAAAUUUCUUCUAAAGCUAAAUACCGGCCAGAGACCGAUAGCGCACAAGUAGAGUGAUCGAAAGAUGAAAAGUACUUUGAAAAGAGGGUUAAAUAGCACGUGAAAUUGUUGAAAGGGAAGCGUUUAUGACCAGACCUUUGUCUAGCGGAUCAUCCGGUGUUCUUCACCGGUGCACUUCGCUAGGCUCAGGCCAGCAUCGGUUUCUGUAGGGGGAUAAAGACCAUGGGAACGUAGCUCUCUCCGGGGAGUGUUAUAGCCCUAGGUGUAAUACCUUUACCGGGACCGAGGUUCGCGCUUCUGCAAGAUGCUGGCGUAAUGGUCAUCAACGACCCGUCUUGAAACACGGACC
rnacentral:rRNA from 1 species